UUAAGCGACUAAGCGUACACGGUGGAUGCCCUGGCAGUCAGAGGCGAUGAAGGACGUGCUAAUCUGCGAUAAGCGUCGGUAAGGUGAUAUGAACCGUUAUAACCGGCGAUUUCCGAAUGGGGAAACCCAGUGUGAUUCGUCACACUAUCAUUAACUGAAUCCAUAGGUUAAUGAGGCGAACCGGGGGAACUGAAACAUCUAAGUACCCCGAGGAAAAGAAAUCAACCGAGAUUCCCCCAGUAGCGGCGAGCGAACGGGGAGGAGCCCAGAGCCUGAAUCAGUGUGUGUGUUAGUGGAAGCGUCUGGAAAGGCGCGCGAUACAGGGUGACAGCCCCGUACACAAAAAUGCACAUACUGUGAGCUCGAUGAGUAGGGCGGGACACGUGGUAUCCUGUCUGAAUAUGGGGGGACCAUCCUCCAAGGCUAAAUACUCCUGACUGACCGAUAGUGAACCAGUACCGUGAGGGAAAGGCGAAAAGAACCCCGGCGAGGGGAGUGAAAAAGAACCUGAAACCGUGUACGUACAAGCAGUGGGAGCCUCUUUUAUGGGGUGACUGCGUACCUUUUGUAUAAUGGGUCAGCGACUUAUAUUCUGUAGCAAGGUUAACCGAAUAGGGGAGCCGAAGGGAAACCGAGUCUUAACCGGGCGUUAAGUUGCAGGGUAUAGACCCGAAACCCGGUGAUCUAGCCAUGGGCAGGUUGAAGGUUGGGUAACACUAACUGGAGGACCGAACCGACUAAUGUUGAAAAAUUAGCGGAUGACUUGUGGCUGGGGGUGAAAGGCCAAUCAAACCGGGAGAUAGCUGGUUCUCCCCGAAAGCUAUUUAGGUAGCGCCUCGUGAAUUCAUCUCCGGGGGUAGAGCACUGUUUCGGCAAGGGGGUCAUCCCGACUUACCAACCCGAUGCAAACUGCGAAUACCGGAGAAUGUUAUCACGGGAGACACACGGCGGGUGCUAACGUCCGUCGUGAAGAGGGAAACAACCCAGACCGCCAGCUAAGGUCCCAAAGUCAUGGUUAAGUGGGAAACGAUGUGGGAAGGCCCAGACAGCCAGGAUGUUGGCUUAGAAGCAGCCAUCAUUUAAAGAAAGCGUAAUAGCUCACUGGUCGAGUCGGCCUGCGCGGAAGAUGUAACGGGGCUAAACCAUGCACCGAAGCUGCGGCAGCGACACUGUGUGUUGUUGGGUAGGGGAGCGUUCUGUAAGCCUGUGAAGGUGUGCUGUGAGGCAUGCUGGAGGUAUCAGAAGUGCGAAUGCUGACAUAAGUAACGAUAAAGCGGGUGAAAAGCCCGCUCGCCGGAAGACCAAGGGUUCCUGUCCAACGUUAAUCGGGGCAGGGUGAGUCGACCCCUAAGGCGAGGCCGAAAGGCGUAGUCGAUGGGAAACAGGUUAAUAUUCCUGUACUUGGUGUUACUGCGAAGGGGGGACGGAGAAGGCUAUGUUGGCCGGGCGACGGUUGUCCCGGUUUAAGCGUGUAGGCUGGUUUUCCAGGCAAAUCCGGAAAAUCAAGGCUGAGGCGUGAUGACGAGGCACUACGGUGCUGAAGCAACAAAUGCCCUGCUUCCAGGAAAAGCCUCUAAGCAUCAGGUAACAUCAAAUCGUACCCCAAACCGACACAGGUGGUCAGGUAGAGAAUACCAAGGCGCUUGAGAGAACUCGGGUGAAGGAACUAGGCAAAAUGGUGCCGUAACUUCGGGAGAAGGCACGCUGAUAUGUAGGUGAAGUCCCUCGCGGAUGGAGCUGAAAUCAGUCGAAGAUACCAGCUGGCUGCAACUGUUUAUUAAAAACACAGCACUGUGCAAACACGAAAGUGGACGUAUACGGUGUGACGCCUGCCCGGUGCCGGAAGGUUAAUUGAUGGGGUCAGCGCAAGCGAAGCUCUUGAUCGAAGCCCCGGUAAACGGCGGCCGUAACUAUAACGGUCCUAAGGUAGCGAAAUUCCUUGUCGGGUAAGUUCCGACCUGCACGAAUGGCGUAAUGAUGGCCAGGCUGUCUCCACCCGAGACUCAGUGAAAUUGAACUCGCUGUGAAGAUGCAGUGUACCCGCGGCAAGACGGAAAGACCCCGUGAACCUUUACUAUAGCUUGACACUGAACAUUGAGCCUUGAUGUGUAGGAUAGGUGGGAGGCUUUGAAGUGUGGACGCCAGUCUGCAUGGAGCCGACCUUGAAAUACCACCCUUUAAUGUUUGAUGUUCUAACGUGGACCCGUGAUCCGGGUUGCGGACAGUGUCUGGUGGGUAGUUUGACUGGGGCGGUCUCCUCCUAAAGAGUAACGGAGGAGCACGAAGGUUGGCUAAUCCUGGUCGGACAUCAGGAGGUUAGUGCAAUGGCAUAAGCCAGCUUGACUGCGAGCGUGACGGCGCGAGCAGGUGCGAAAGCAGGUCAUAGUGAUCCGGUGGUUCUGAAUGGAAGGGCCAUCGCUCAACGGAUAAAAGGUACUCCGGGGAUAACAGGCUGAUACCGCCCAAGAGUUCAUAUCGACGGCGGUGUUUGGCACCUCGAUGUCGGCUCAUCACAUCCUGGGGCUGAAGUAGGUCCCAAGGGUAUGGCUGUUCGCCAUUUAAAGUGGUACGCGAGCUGGGUUUAGAACGUCGUGAGACAGUUCGGUCCCUAUCUGCCGUGGGCGCUGGAGAACUGAGGGGGGCUGCUCCUAGUACGAGAGGACCGGAGUGGACGCAUCACUGGUGUUCGGGUUGUCAUGCCAAUGGCACUGCCCGGUAGCUAAAUGCGGAAGAGAUAAGUGCUGAAAGCAUCUAAGCACGAAACUUGCCCCGAGAUGAGUUCUCCCUGACCCUUUAAGGGUCCUGAAGGAACGUUGAAGACGACGACGUUGAUAGGCCGGGUGUGUAAGCGCAGCGAUGCGUUGAGCUAACCGGUACUAAUGAACCGUGAGGCUUAACCUU
rnacentral:rRNA from 1 species